rnacentral:lncRNA from 1 species
GAGAAUCACAAACUAAGCCUUCUUUUGCUUCGUGUGCUCAUUGCAGGGCUAGUAGGGUUGAUUUUUUUUUGCUACGUGUGCUCUUUGUAGGGCUGUCAAGUGGCACCAUAGGAAGGUGCGGAGUAAUUUCAGCAACCUCUAAUUUUUCUUUUGGCAUGUACCUUCACAGCAGGAUGUGUUUUGUUGUUGGAGACAUCAUGUUCACCACAAA